GCCUUUGUAGAUCAAUGUAUAUCAUUUCUCGUUCCAUAAUUGUGAAAGCUGGAUCUCAGGAAAGAGAUGUGGGUUCGAACCCCACCGGAGGCA